rnacentral:rRNA from 1 species
AGAGUUUGAUCAUGGCUCAGAGCGAACGCUGGCGGCAGGCUUAACACAUGCAAGUCGAGCGGGCGUAGCAAUACGUCAGCGGCAGACGGGUGAGUAGCGCGUGGGAACGUACCUUUUGGUUCGGAACAACACAGGGAAACUUGUGCUAAUACCGGAUAAGCCCUUACGGGGAAAGAUUUAUCGCCGAAAGAUCGGCCCGCGUCUGAUUAGCUAGUUGGUGAGGUAAUGGCUCACCAAGGCGACGAUCAGUAGCUGGUCUGAGAGGAUGAUCAGCCACAUUGGGACUGAGACACGGCCCAAACUCCUACGGGAGGCAGCAGUGGGGAAUAUUGGACAAUGGGCGCAAGCCUGAUCCAGCCAUGGCCGCGUGAGUGAUGAAGGCCCUAGGGUUGUAAAGCUCUUUUGUGCGGGAAGAUAAUGACGGUACCGCAAGAAUAAGCCCCGGCUAACUUCGUGCCAGCAGCCGCGGUAAUACGAAGGGGGCUAGCGUUGCUCGGAAUCACUGGGCGUAAAGGGUGCGUAGGCGGGUCUUUAAGUCAGGGGUGAAAUCCUGGAGCUCAACUCCAGAACUGCCUUUGAUACUGAGGAUCUUGAGUUCGGGAGAGGUGAGUGGAACUGCGAGUGUAGAGGUGAAAUUCGUAGAUAUUCGCAAGAACACCAGUGGCGAAGGCGGCUCACUGGCCCGAUACUGACGCUGAGGCACGAAAGCGUGGGGAGCAAACAGGAUUAGAUACC